rnacentral:sRNA from 1 species
UCGCAGCCCGGCUUGAGUGGAGCUCUUUUUGUGGCAUUGCGCGCUGUAACGUUCUGUGGAUUGCUUCACUUCGUUCGCAAUGACACAAAAAAGCGGGAACGGAAGACGGAUGAAGC